rnacentral:siRNA from 1 species
AGAUGACUGCUAUGCUCUCGG